CCAGUAUGGGGAGCAAAACAGCUAUGGGUCAAGUCCGAUAUCUUUAGGAGAAGUCUUAUUGUGAGGGCGAGUUAUAUAACACCAUAGGACUGGCCGUCCCAUAUGAAAAGAUUAUAUUAGAAUUGAAUGAAGCUUUGUUUAUAUAUUGAUAAUGACAGUAUAUAUAUCGUGUCUUGACUAAUUGCGUGCCAGCAGUCGCGGUAAUACGUAAGAGACUAGUGUUAUUCAUCUUAAUUAGGUUUAAAGGGUACCCAGACGGUCAAUAUAGCUUAUAAAAUGUUAGUACUUGACUAGAGUUUUAUGUAAGAGGGCAGUACUUGAGGAGGAGAGAUGAAAUUUCGUGAUACCAAAGGGACUCUGUAAAGGCGAAGGCAGCCCUCUAUGUAAAAACUGACGUUGAAGGACGAAGGCACAGAGAACAAACAGGAUUAGAUACCCAAGUAGUCUUUGCAGUAAAUGAUGAAUGCCAUAGGUUAGAUGGGUCAAUUAUAGUCUAGGGUUAGUCUAGCAAACUAAUACCCUAUGCUAUAAUUCCUAAUAUCUGGUCUAUAAAUGAAAGUGUAAGCAUUUCACCU
rnacentral:rRNA from 1 species